GAAGAUCCAAACCGACAAUAC
rnacentral:misc_RNA from 1 species